rnacentral:lncRNA from 1 species
GUUAGUGAGUUAUUUGCCGCUAUCUCAGUGGGUAGGAAGAGGGGCCCUGAACACUGAGAUGAUUACUCAAUUGCGUCUGGGAGCUUCCCACAUUUCCCCGUCGGUGCUGGGCUCUCGGGAUAUUGGCAAGCAGAGUCUCGGGGCUCUUGGCGCGCCGAUCGGUUUGGGGCUCUUCUCUGGGUGCAACAGGUCUGUUGAACCUGGAACCGAGAGGGGAGCAGCCGAGGUGACGUGGAGGGGCGGAGGGGCUGGGGGAGGCUGGUUUCCAAGAGCCGCACUCCCGAGGUUGGGGAGCGCGUGCCCGUCUCCCCGCAGAGCGAGACGCCCGCGGCUGGAUGCAAACCAGAGGUCCCUACAACUCCGGCUGGCGAACCGCAGGUGGGAGCUCUCGGCUGCCAGGCUCCGGACAGGCCCCCCAGCUCACCCCACUUCAGCUUCGUGGCCGCAAGAGCCGCCAGAGUGGGAGACAGGUCUGUAGUUCCGACAAGGUCCGCUCCAGUGUCGACGCGGUGGACACGGCUGCGGGGGCCAGGGGACAACAGCUGCUUUAAAGCCGGGAGCAACCCACAGGUGGCCUGUCAGGGAAACGGACGUCCGUGACGUCAUCCUGAAGCCACCUUCACAGGCCAGACGUGGCUCACUUCCGGAGAGCGUACCCCACUCCUGCACCACUGCGGUGCCACAACUUGCACUCCAAGAGCCACCUGGCCCGAUCCUCACCUGUCAGGGUGGACAGACCGAGUCUCUAAAGC